GACGAACGCUGGCGGCGUGCUUAACACAUGCAAGUCGAACGGAAAGGCCCUGCUUUUGUGGGGUGCUCGAGUGGCGAACGGGUGAGUAACACGUGAGUAACCUGCCCUUGACUUUGGGAUAACUUCAGGAAACUGGGGCUAAUACCGGAUAGGAGCUCCUGCUGCAUGGUGGGGGUUGGAAAGUUUCGGCGGUUGGGGAUGGACUCGCGUCUUAUCAGCUUGUUGGUUGGGUAGUGGCUUAGCAAGGCCUUGACGGGUAGCCGGCCUGGGAGGGUGACCGGCCACAUUGGGACUGGGCUACGGCCCAGACUCCUACGGGAGGCAGCAGUGGGGAAUAUUGCACAAUGGGCGGAAGCCUGAUGCAGCACCGCCGCGUGCGGGAUGACGGCCUUCGGGUUGUAAACCGCUUUCGCCUGUGACGAAGCGUGAGUGACGGUAAUGGGUAAAGAAGCACCGGCUAACUACGUG
rnacentral:rRNA from 1 species